UCGGGGAUCGUCUAACGGCAGGACACAAGUUUCUGGUUCUUGUUAUCUAGGUUCGAAUCCUAGUCCCCGAGCUA
rnacentral:tRNA from 1 species